CCAGGGCGUGAAACCGGACAAGCGGCGAGUGAAGCGGUAAAAGCUCAAAUUUGAAAUCUGGUACUUUCAGUGCCCGAGUUGUAAUUUGUAGAAUUUGUCUUUGAUUAGGUCCUUGUCUAUGUUCCUUGGAACAGGACGUCAUAGAGGGUGAGAAUCCCGUUUGGCGAGGAUACCUUUUCUUUGUAAGACUUUUUCGAAGAGUCGAGUUGUUUGGGAAUGCAGCUCAAAGUGGGUGGUAAAUUCCAUCUAAAGCUAAAUAUUGGCGAGAGACCGAUAGCGAACAAGUACAGUGAUGGAAAGAUGAAAAGAACUUUGAAAAGAGAGUGAAAAAGUACGUGAAAUUGUUGAAAGGGAAGGGCAUUUGAUCAGACAUGGUGUUUUUUGCAUGCACUCGCCUCUCGUGGGCUUGGGCCUCUCAAAAAUUUCACUGGGCCAACAUCAAUUCUGGCAGCAGGAUAAAUCAUUAAGAAUGUAGCUACUUCGGUAGUGUUAUAGCUUUUUGGAAUACUGUUAGCCGGGAUUGAGGACUGCGCUUCGGCAAGGAUGUUGGCAUAAUGGUUAAAUGCCGCCCGCUAAAAAAAAAAAAAAAAAAAAA
rnacentral:rRNA from 1 species